rnacentral:rRNA from 1 species
AAACUUUCAGCAACGGAUCUCUUGGUUCAGGCAUCGAUGAAGAACGCAGCGAAAUGCGAUAAGUAAUGUGAAUUGCAGAUACAGUGAAUCAUCGAAUCUUUGAACGCAAAUGGCACUCUAUGGUAUUCCGUAGAGUACGUCUGUUUGAGCGUCGCGA